rnacentral:lncRNA from 1 species
AUGCUGGGGCUUCGCCGAGCGCUGUCCCGCACCCGUGCUGCUGCAGCACCGAUGCAGUGUGGAGAGCACGGGGGGUGCAGGACACUGGAGCCUUUGCCCAUGCCCAGACCCUGGCUGGGAGCAGGGUGUCACAGCACCGCCCUGGGCACCUCUUCUCCCCACGCCAGUGCAUUUUCAGCAGGUGUGGGGCCGCAUCCACCCCCCAUGAAGAUGCUCCCGGUUGGGCCAUGCUCAGAAAGUGCUCGUUUCUCUUUCCACUCAGUAACGAGGCAGAAAAUUGCAAAGAGGGGAGCUCCGGGCAGGGGACACGGUGAUGAGACGCUGAGACAGCAGUGCCGUCCCCAUCCCACUUGCCGGGUGCUGGCCCCCACCUCCGCUCCCCUUCCAGGGCCCUCUCACCAGCAGCACCGAUGGAGACUGCGAGGUGUCAGCCGGGAAGUCUUUUACCUUCACCUCGCCUCCCCAAAUGGACAAUGUCUCCGCUCAUUAGGCACCCACCCAGGGGGCAGAUGUCAGCUCAGCUCAUGUAGCUCACGGCUUUUCUCAGCUCAUCGCUGCCGCAGCUCUGACGGCUUCAGAGCGCUCAGCUCCCAUCACGUCAGGUGGCGGCUGCAUCCUGCAUCCCCUGCCCGCCCCGCCUGCCCCCGGCGGCUCCUCCGCAGGAGGUGCUCACCUUCCUUCCCUCCCGACGAACGUGGCUUCCGAGGAUGCUUCAUUAAAAGGCUGGGAAAUAAUGGGCACCGGUGGCACGCAUGCGUGCGCGGCGCUCGCUUCGUUUUUCCUUGCCGGGCAGUGCCUGGGAGGAGAAGCCAUCACUGCAGCCUGCCUGCUGAGGCUGAUGCGUCCCGACAGCUUGUUCACUGGGACAUUAAAAUCAUUGCCUCUGUCUGUGUAAAACACACAGCGAGCCGGGUGAUGGGAACACAGGUCAGGGGAGGAUUGUUCUCUCCCCUUCGCGCUCAGCAGUGCCACUGGGAGCCCAAGCAGCAGGACCAAGCAGGUCCUUGCUGCGUCCCACCCGGACAGGAGCAUGGCACCGGUCCCCUCCGACACAAAGUGGGAUGUUCCCUUUCUGGGGUGUGUUACAGCUCAGGUGCUGGGGAGAGCACCCCAACCCCACCAGUGCAUCCCCCCAGUCUUUUACCCAGGGGCUUUGGUUUCCCUGGGGGGCUUCAGCACAGCAAGGGGAAGCCUGCAAGCCCCUCUCUGAACCCGUGCUCCCAAAGGCAGGCCAGGCAAGUGGCACUACAGGCGCAGAGUGCUCACAGGUGA